rnacentral:lncRNA from 1 species
UUGCACUUUUCUCCUCCACAAGGGGCUCAUCGUUGAUCUUUACUUCUUCAACUACAGGAGGUUGAAGAAGCUUUACUUCUGCUGGAGGUUCAAUGACAAUAUUCUCUUCUACUACAGAAGGUUCAGCAGCAAGCUCUCGUUCUUCAACAACAGGAGUAUCAUUUGCGAUUUUCUCUUCGACAAUGGGCUCAUCUGCGAUCUUCUCUUCUUUAACUACAGGAGUUUGAAGAAGCUUUACUUCCGCUGGAUGUUCAAUCACCACAUUUUCUUCUACUACAGGAGGUUCAGCAGCAAUCUCUGGUUCUUCAACAACAUGAGCAUCAUUUGCAAUUUUCUCUUUGACAAUGUGCUCAUCUGCGAUCUUUACUUCAACUGCAGGAGUUUGAAGAAGUUUUACUUCUGCUGGAGGUUGAAUCACAAUGUUCUCUUCUACUCCAGGAG